rnacentral:rRNA from 1 species
UACGGAGGGUGCAAGCGUUAUCCGGAUUCACUGGGUUUAAAGGGUGCGUAGGCGGGCAGUUAAGUCAGUGGUGAAAUCCUUGAGCUCAACUCGAGAACUGCCAUUGAUACUAUCUGUCUUGAAUAUUGUGGAGGUAAGCGGAAUAUGUCAUGUAGCGGUGAAAUGCUUAGAUAUGACAUAGAACACCUAUUGCGAAGGCAGCUUACUACGCAUAUAUUGACGCUGAGGCACGAAAGCGUGGGGGAGCGAUCCGG